UCAAAGGGACAGGGGUAGAGCCUUGUGUUUAGUUGAGCGGGGGACGGACACUGGUACUUGACCUAGCGGCGGACGGGUGAGUAAUGCUUAGGAAUCUGCCUAUUAGUGGGGGACAACAUCUCGAAAGGGAUGCUAAUACCGCAUACGUCCUACGGGAGAAAGCAGGGGAUCUUCGGACCUUGCGCUAAUAGAUGAGCCUAAGUCGGAUUAGCUAGUUGGUGGGGUAAAGGCCUACCAAGGCGACGAUCUGUAGCGGGUCUGAGAGGAUGAUCCGCCACACUGGGACUGAGACACGGCCCAGACUCCUACGGGAGGCAGCAGUGGGGAAUAUUGGACAAUGGGCGCAAGCCUGAUCCAGCCAUGCCGCGUGUGUGAAGAAGGCCUUAUGGUUGUAAAGCACUUUAAGCGAGGAGGAGGCUACUUUAGAUAAUACCUAGAGAUAGUGGACGUUACUCGCAGAAUAAGCACCGGCUAACUCUGUGCCAGCAGCCGCGGUAAUACAGAGGGUGCAAGCGUUAAUCGGAUUUACUGGGCGUAAAGCGCGCGUAGGCGGCUAAUUAAGUCAAAUGUGAAAUCCCCGAGCUUAACUUGGGAAUUGCAUUCGAUACUGGUUAGCUAGAGUGUGGGAGAGGAUGGUAGAAUUCCAGGUGUAGCGGUGAAAUGCGUAGAGAUCUGGAGGAAUACCGAUGGCGAAGGCAGCCAUCUUGGCCUAACACUGACGCUGAGGUGCGAAAAGCAUGGGGGAGCAAACAGGAUUAGAUACCCUGGUAGUCCAUGCCGUAAACGAUGUCUACUAGCCAAAGGGGACUUAGAGGCUUAAUAGAAGCAGAUAAGGCAAAAGUAGACCGCUGAGGAGUAAAGAACACAAGAAUAAAACUCCAUUGAUUGACGGGGGCCGCAAAAGACGGGUGAAACAGUGGUUAAUACGAUGCAACGGAAGAACCUACCUGCCUGACAUAGUAGCAUUACAGAGAGGAUAGGAGCAUGGGAAAUAAUAAGGGGCCUAUUGCUCACAAACACAGUCGAAAACACGGUAAAACGCGACAAGAAACAUACCAAUUG
rnacentral:rRNA from 1 species